rnacentral:tRNA from 1 species
CUAGCUAAAGAGGACCAUCUCCUCCUUAAUGA